CACGUAGGGGGCGAGCGUUGUCCGGAUUUAUUGGGCGUAAAGAGCGUGUAGGCGGCCAUACAGGUCAGCUGUGAAAACUCGAGGCUCAACCUCGAGACGUCGGUUGAAACCGUAUGGCUAGAGUCCGGAAGAGGAGAGUGGAAUUCCCGGUGUAGCGGUGAAAUGCGCAGAUAUCGGGAAGAACACCCGUGGCGAAGGCGGGUCUCUGGGCCGGAACUGACGCUGAGGAGCGAAAGCGUGGGGAGCGAACAGG
rnacentral:rRNA from 1 species